AAAUUGAAGAGUUUGAUCAUGGCUCAGAUUGAACGCUGGCGGCAGGCCUAACACAUGCAAGUCGAGCGGAAACGAGUUAUCUGAACCUUCGGGGAACGAUAAAGGCGUCGAGCGGCGGACGGGUGAGUAAUGCCUAGGAAAUUGCCCUGAUGUGGGGGAUAACCAUUGGAAACGAUGGCUAAUACCGCAUGAUGCCUACGGGCCAA
rnacentral:rRNA from 1 species